GGCAUUUCGGAAACCCACAAGGCGGAG
rnacentral:piRNA from 1 species